rnacentral:rRNA from 1 species
UACGUAGGUGGCAAGCGUUGUCCGGAAUUAUUGGGCGUAAAGAGCUCGUAGGCGGUCUGUCGCGUCGGUCGUGAAAACUUGGGGCUUAACCCUGAGCUUGCGGUCGAUACGGGCAUGACUGGAGUUCGGCAGGGGAGACUGGAAUUCCUGGUGUAGCGGUGAAAUGCGCAGAUAUCAGGAGGAACACCGGUGGCGAAGGCGGGUCUCUGGGCCGAUACUGACGCUGAGGAGCGAAAGCGUGGGGAGCGAACAGG